AUUGAACGCUGGCGGCAUGCUUUACACAUGCAAGUCGAACGGCAGCGCGGGCUUCGGCCUGGCGGCGAGUGGCGAACGGGCGAGUAAUGCAUCGGAACGUGCCCAGUAGUGGGGGAUAGCCCGGCGAAAGCCGGAUUAAUACCGCAUACGACCUGCGGGUGAAAGCGGGGGACCGAAAGGCCUCGCGCUAUUGGAGCGGCCGAUGUCGGAUUAGCUAGUUGGUGGGGUAAAGGCUUACCAAGGCGACGAUCCGUAGCUGGUCUGAGAGGACGACCAGCCACACUGGGACUGAGACACGGCCAAGACUACUAAGGGAGGCAGCAGUGGGGAAUUUGGGACAAUGGGGGCAACCCUGAUCCAGCCAGGCCGCGUGCGGGAAGAAGGCCUUCGGGUUGUAAACCGCUUUUGUUCGGGAAGAAAUCCUCUGGGCUAAUACCCCGGGGGGAUGACGGUACCGGAAGAAUAAGCACCGGCUAACUACGUG
rnacentral:rRNA from 1 species